CAGUCGCCGCGGUAAUACGAAGGGGGCUAGCGUUGUUCGGAUUUACUGGGCGUAAAGCGCACGUAGGCGGAUCGAUCAGUCAGGGGUGAAAUCCCAGAGCUCAACUCUGGAACUGCCUUUGAUACUGUCGAUCUGGAGUAUGGAAGAGGUGAGUGGAAUUCCGAGUGUAGAGGUGAAAUUCGUAGAUAUUCGGAGGAACACCAGUGGCGAAGGCGGCUCACUGGUCCAUUACUGACGCUGAGGUGCGAAAGCGUGGGGAGCAAACAGGAUUAGAUACCCCCGUAGUCCCUGUCUCUUAUAC
rnacentral:rRNA from 1 species